rnacentral:lncRNA from 1 species
GUAGUUCUAAUGCAGUGGCAACCUCCGAAGCCACGUCGUCUGAAGCUAGUUAAGGUUAGGAAGUUGAGGAUGUUCAGAAGCACGACGACAAGGCUCUCAGGUAAAAGAAAAAAACGUUUCAUUGUCUACGAGAAAUCAGCACCCAAAUAUAUGAAGUUCGGCAGAAUCUGCAAAAGAAAGAAAAUUAGAUGAGCAUAAAUAAAAUUAGAUAAUAUCUUAAAAGUAACUUCUUUUGAUAGUCGAAUCACAUUAAAAAUAAUAUCUCAUAUUCGAAUUGGAGUUAAGUAUUUAUGACUCCUCUGAUUAAACAAGAACAUAUAAGACUAUUCUUGGCUACAAAUAAAAAGAACAAGCAAAGAAAACGAUAAAAAGAAAUAACCUCAAGUACUAGCAUUUUGUCGUCCUCUAAACACGAAUU